UCAGGAUGAACGCUAGCUACAGGCUUAACACAUGCAAGUCGAGGGGCAGCGGGAUUGAAGCUUGCUUCAAUUGCCGGCGACCGGCGCACGGGUGAGUAACGCGUAUCCAACCUUCCGUACACUCAGGGAUAGCCUUUCGAAAGAAAGAUUAAUACCUGAUGGUAUGAUGAGAUUGCAUGAUAGCAUCAUUAAAGAUUUAUCGGUGUACGAUGGGGAUGCGUUCCAUUAGGUAGUAGGCGGGGUAACGGCCCACCUAGCCAACGAUGGAUAGGGGUUCUGAGAGGAAGGUCCCCCACAUUGGAACUGAGACACGGUCCAAACUCCUACGGGAGGCAGCAGUGAGGAAUAUUGGUCAAUGGACGAGAGUCUGAACCAGCCAAGUAGCGUGAAGGAUGAAGGUCCUACGGAUUGUAAACUUCUUUUAUAAGGGAAUAAACCCUCCCACGUGUGGGAGCUUGUAUGUACCUUAUGAAUAAGCAUCGGCUAACUCCGUGCCAGCAGCCGCGGUAAUACGGAGGAUGCGAGCGUUGUCCGGAUUUAUUGGGUUUAAAGGGAGCGCAGACGGGUCGUUAAGUCAGCUGUGAAAGUUUGGGGCUCAACCUUAAAAUUGCAGUUGAUACUGGCGUCCUUGAGUGCGGUUGAGGUGUGCGGAAUUCGUGGUGUAGCGGUGAAAUGCUUAGAUAUCACGAAGAACUCCGAUUGCGAAGGCAGCACACUAAUCCGUAACUGACGUUCAUGCUCGAAAGUGUGGGUAUCAAACAGGAUUAGAUACCCUGGUAGUCCACACGGUAAACGAUGGAUACUCGCUGUUGGCGAUAUACUGUCAGCGGCUUAGCGAAAGCGUUAAGUAUCC
rnacentral:rRNA from 1 species